rnacentral:sRNA from 1 species
CUACUCUUUAUCACUACUGCACUUGACUCCCAUGACAUGACUGUCCUACUCUUUAUCACUACUGCACUUGACUCCCAUGACAUGACUGUCCUACUCUUUAUUACUACUACACUGGUUAACACAGGAUUCUCCACUGGGUGUCAGCUUGGUUAACUUGGAGCUAUAGACACAGUCACAGCUUUGUACACGGCCACAGUUCAUCUGGAUCCACCUGAGUUUGUUCCUAACUCAUGGCUACUUCACUUAAAAGAUACUAACAUAAAACUUAUAUUUAAAGGAAGUUGAAAUCCCACCUUUCUAUGAAAAUUGCACCUAUGUUUACUAGUUACACAGCCUUGAAUAGUUAUCGAUCUUCAAAAAAUUAAAAGGAUACAACAAACUAGAGGAUUUGUUCAUUAAUAUAGCUUGCUUUUUAAUUUAAACGGCAUUACUGGAGAAACAAUCACAUUUUUUACACACUCAGUCACAAAACUUUUAGUGAAAAAGAAUGGGCUAAGAAAUAUUUCUAUAAUACAACUUUGUACCCCACCCUCCUGAAAUGAAUUGGAAAAAUACUAGCUCUCUUGGUAAUUUAAUGGUAGAAGAUAAAACAAAACAAAAAUUUAUUUUUAAAAUGAAAUAAGAAUUCUUUAAUGAUGAGAAAAAUAUUGUAUAAAAAGUUCAUGAUUUUGCAUAAAACCUAGUAUUUUAUUCUGAAAACUAAAACAACUAGGUAGCAAACCAUUUUUACAGCUGCAGUGUCCUAGCGUUUGAAAUAAUUAUUGAGAACUACUCAGAAAUGGAAAGCCAAAUGUUAGCACAGAUUGAAGAAGUUACGCAAAGGUCUACAUGACCAGUGGGACAAAGCUAGCCAGACACAUCUUAGGCAUCGUGAGUGAAGUCUGUUUCUGUGAACUCUGUUCUAACAGCAGAAGCUGCUCUCAUACACUCUCUCCUUUCUGUUCUGUUGUGAGGUAAACCCUAAGCAGUCCACAGUGGCUUCCAACUUCUUAUGCAGCCCAAGCUGAGUGCUGGAUUCCAGACAGGCACCACCAUUUACACAGGAGUUUGUGUCCACUAGGCAAGUACUCUACCAACUGAACUAUAAUCCUAGCCUUUUAUAGUCAAUUGUUUUGAUUAAAGGGAAAUUUACUAAAGAUGUAACUGAUACAGAUUUUUUUGCACUUUUAUAUUCUUCUCUUUAAAAAAACUGUUAAUUAGAGUAUAUUUCAGGAAUUUUUUUAAACUAUCAUUUUUCAAAAUAGCAAAAAAUAAAUAAAUAAAUUAAUACUCAAAUUAACCUGACCCAAAGACUUCAUAGCUCAAUGGACUUCUAUAUACUUAGAGUAGCCAUUCAAAAUAGAAGCUAGGGAACGUCACAUUUUAUAGUUCACUAUUAAAUAUUUUUGUGCACGUAUCCACCAUCAAAACAAACAAAAUCCCACAGGUGAGAGCUGAGAGCACCAGCAGCUUUCUGCCCUUUUGAAUGUCCCUGCCUGUACUCAGUCAGGCCUGGUCCUCUAAGACUUAGCCUUUCGUGUUCUCUUUCCUUCAUGUUAUAGCACACCAUACGCACAUCUGCUUACAUAUAUGGAUUCGUUAAUGGGUACAUUCCAUACGAGGGAAAACAUGUAUGUUUCUUUCUCUCUCUCUUUCUUUCUCUUUCUUUCUUUCUCUCUCUUUCUUUCUUCCUUUCUCUCUUUCUUUCUUUCUUUCUUUCUUUCUUUCUUUCUUUCUUUCUUUCUUUCUGAAAUUCUGUGGCUUUGCUUAAUAUACAUCCUAAGUCCACCACUUUCCUAAAGAUUUUGUGAUUUCAGUUUUCUUCAGAGAUGAGUAUGUGCACACACACCUCUCAAUUAUAGCAUAUACAUCCAUAUACACCAUAUACCAUAUGUCCAUCAUCUGCUGAUGGACAACUAGGCUGACUCCAGGUCUGCUGCUAUAGCAGAUGAAGUAGCAGCAGACCAAGGGCCGCUAGAAGACAGCAGAGCUCUUGGGUACAUUCCCAGGGGUGAGGGAGAGAGCUGGGUCCUAACUGGUACCCACAAUGCACUCCUACUAACAGAAAAUAUGGGUUCUUUUUUUCCCACAUCCAAUAUUGGCUGUGAGAUUUAUUACAAUAACCAUUCUGACUAGGGUGAAGUGGUAUCUCAUAGUAGUUUUAACUUACAUUCCCCUGAUGGCUAAGAAUACUGAAGACAUUUUAAAACAACUAUUGGCCAUUUGUGUCCCUUUCUUCUUGUUUUGUAAAUGUUUACUCAGUUCACUUCCCAUUGUUGAUUGGCAGGUUUGUUUCAUGGCUACCUAACCGCUACAACUCUUUGCAUCCUGAGUAUUAAUAUUGACCCCUUGUCUGAAGUGUAGAUGGAAAAGAUCUCUUCCCAUUCAGUUUGUUUCAUUGUUAUUAUCUGGGAAGGAGACUCUCAAGAUUCUUGAGAGGCCAUAAAAUUGGCCUCCAGGCAAGUCUGUUGGGCAUUUCCUUGAUGAAUGACUGAUAGAGGAGGACUGGCCCUCCCUGUGGGGGUGCUUCCCCUGGCAAGUGGUGCUAAGUCAGAUAAGAAAACCCGCUGAACAAGCAGUGAGGACCAAGCCAUAGCAGCACUCCUCCAUGGCGUCUGCCUUCGUUUCUGUGCCCAGUUCCUGCCCUGGCUUCCCUCAAGAUCAACGGUGACAUGGAAGUGCAGGCUCGAUAUCCUUUCCUCCCCAAGUUGUUCUAGUCAUGGUGUUUUAUCACAACAACAGAAAUCCUAAGACAAAUAUCCUCUAUGGUUUUUUUUCCUAGAAGAUGUAGAUUUUAAAUUAAGAGUUUUGAUCCAUUUUAAAUGGAGUUUUGUAAAAAGUGAAAGAAUAUUUCAUUCUUCUGCAGGCUGUCUUUUCAGCUAUAGCCAUCUACGUAGAUGCAGACGCAGAUGCAGAAGAAUAUUAAACUUUUAAGGUAAAGUAUAGUAAUGUCUACACCUAGUAGGGCUUUGGUUAUUCAAGGUCUUUCGUGGUUCCAAAUGAAUUCCUGUAUUGUUUUUAUCUAAACUUGUAAAAAAUGUCACUGGAAUUUAGAUGGGCAUUGCGCUAAUUAGUUGGCAGUACAGCCAUUUUCACAGUAUUGAUUCUGCCAAUCCAAGAACAUGUAAUGUCUUUCUAUAAUCUAGUAUCUUGUAUGAUUUUCUUUUUUACAGUGGCUUGAAUUUUUCAUUGUAGAAGCCUUUCACUUCUUUGGUUACAUAUGUUCAUAAAUAUCUUAUCUUGGGAAGUUAUUUUGAAUGGAAUUUUUUUUCUAAUUUUUUUCUCUAAAAGUAUGCUGUUGGUAUAAAUGAAGGCCUGUUUUUUUAAACACUGACUUUGUAUCCUGCAUCUUUUUACUGUUCAGUAUUUCAUUUAAACAUCAAUUUCCUAAAAAGUAGUUCUUUUCUACUGAGUUGCCUUUUAUCUUGACAUCAGUAUGAUUUCUAUAGUAGUAAA